ensembl:lncRNA
GCCCGACGAAAUCCUGGAAGGAAGUGAGUACUGAGGCGGGCGAAGAAAACAUCUCCAAUUAUAUGCCGUCGAUGACAUCCUGACCCUUCUUCCCCACGUGACGGUGGCGGGAAACAAUUUCAAAUCUCUUGCCCUGUCGGUUGGAAGAAAGAAGAGGGAAGCGUUCGACCCAUUCAGUGUAGCACACCCCGGGUGAAACAACUUACCUGUGUGUGACACCAGUGGAGGCCGUGUUCGGCCCAACGCAGCAGCAGCUUUCGAUCCGCAUCUCUAUCAGCAGUUGGUUGAAGCCUCAGAAAAGGAAUGCCUGACGUCUAUUUCCUCAAAGAUCUAGCGGGUCCCUUUGAAGCGUCUACCUGCACGUUGACCCGUCACUCAGGAUACAGAAACCGCGGAAACCCCCCCCGUACACUUACCAGUAUGGUUUCAGUUGGAUCCCGGCAGCCAUUGUGCAGCUCCACCAGCAUCUGGACGACCGGGAGUCCAACCCGCUGGGCCACCUCGGAGUUCGCCAUGAGUAGCAGCAGGUAUCCAUCGUGCAUUCAAACUCUCAAUACGUACCACUUAUAUCUGUUACGUCCAGGAAAGGAGAGGGCCCUGGACAGUCGUCCUGCAAGCCAGAACAAAGGGGCACUUGUGAAUAAGCUGAUUGUCGUCACAUAGCCAGAAGGAAAGAGGAGUGAAGGACUCACCUGAGAUCUCCCACGACGGAGUCUAAGAGACUCGGACUCACCUGAGAUCUCCCGCGACGGAGUCUAAGAGACUCGAGACUGUUACUCUCCAAUUGGAGAGCUGGAUUUUAGCCUCCCUUCCCCCCUGCCCCAUACCUUUUUUUUUUAGUAAUUUAAUAAAGUUUGUUUUAAUAUUUACUUACCGUCUCUC